rnacentral:rRNA from 1 species
AGCGAACGCUGGCGGCAGGCUUAACACAUGCAAGUCGAGCGGGCACUUCGGUGUCAGCGGCAGACGGGUGAGUAACACGUGGGAACGUACCCUUUGGUUCGGAAUAACGCUGGGAAACUAGCGCUAAUACCGGAUACGCCCUUUUGGGGAAAGGCUUGCUGCCGAAGGAUCGGCCCGCGUCUGAUUAGCUAGUUGGUGGGGUAAUGGCCUACCAAGGCGACGAUCAGUAGCUGGUCUGAGAGGAUGAUCAGCCACACUGGGACUGAGACACGGCCCAGACUCGUACGGGAGGCAGCAGUGGGGAAUAUUGGACAAGGGGCGCAAGCCUGAUCCAGCCAUGCCGCGUGAGUGAUGAAGGCCUUAGGGUUGUAAAGCUCUUUUGUCCGGGACGAUAAUGACGGUACCGGAAGAAUAAGCCCCGGCUAACUUCGUG